rnacentral:lncRNA from 1 species
AGAGAACCCAGCAUACCAACACACCCUUACUAGAAGGGCUCUUUCCAGAAAGUGCACACAGUGGGAAGGCCCUGGGGUUAGCUCAGACUUAACAUUAUUCAAGGACUAGAAAGGAGACCAAUGUGUUGGGAGGAGAGAACAAAGGGGAGUGUGGUAGGAGAUGAGGUCAGAGUGAGCGAGGCCCCCGAUCUCGCAGGACUGUAUUGCUCCACAGAGGAGAGUUGUUUAGGCAUUCAAACUCCUUCACACAAACAAACCAAGCAAAUAUUUUAGGCCUGAAUUGUUGGGUGCUGAUGAUACAGAAAUGAAUUAGACAAAGUCUUCAUUGUCAAGAAGCUCAGACUCUAACAAGAAACAAAGACAAGGGAGCAGGCAGCUGCAUCACAGCGCAGUACAGUGAUCAGGUUAAGCAUAGGACACUGGAGUGAAAGCACUGAUUCAAGCAGAAAGUGUAAGGUACAACUGGGCACAUGGAAGCCUGCGUGCUUUGCUGGUUGCUAUGCAGAUGGCAGAAAGAGCCACCUUUGAAACACAAGGACCAGCUCAGAGCACCCUGAGGACCCGCAAGAAGAAGCUGAGGAAGAAAAGGUGAGCUUGCACAAAACACGGCAGAAUCUAUGCUUCGACUUGGGUGUGUAUGACCAGGAAACCACUAAGGCCUGUGGCGCACUGGAAGCCAUCCAGUCAUCUGGAAUUGCUUAAAGAGGCCAUGGAGGCUACCACAUGGAGCCUCAAUUGAAGACAGGCGAGUUUAGAAGGAAAAAGGACCAGUUAGUGGCAAAGGUCCAGAACAGUGAUGGAUGAGGAGGGAGAAGUCGACAAACAGCAGAUGUUAAUGAGGCAAGGUUAGCUAGCUUCCAAACAGUAAUAAAGAACAAACUAACGUGGAGGGGGGGCGGCAAUAACUUAAAGAUCCAACCCUAAUGUGCCAGGCUCUGAGGAACACAUGAACCUCCAAACAAAACAUCCAGGCAAAUGGCU